CCUACGGGUGGCAGCAGUGGGGAAUAUUGCACAAUGGGGGAAACCCUGAUGCAGCGACGCCGCGUGAGUGAAGAAGUAUUUCGGUACGUAAAGCUCUAUCAGCAGGGAAGAAAAUGACGGUACCUGACUAAGAAGCCCCGGCUAACUACGUGCCAGCAGCCGCGGUAAUACGUAGGGGGCAAGCGUUAUCCGGCUUUACUGGGUGUAAAGGGAGCGUAGACGGCAGCGCAAGUCUGGAGUGAAAUCCCAUGGCUUAACCAUGGAACUGCUUUGGAAACUGUGCAGCUAGAGUGCAGGAGAGGUAAGCGGAAGGCCUAGUGUAGCGGUGAAAUGCGUAGAUAGUAGGAGGAACACCAGUGGCGAAGGCGGCUUACUGGACUGUAACUGACGUUGAGGCUCGAAAGCGUGGGGAGCAAACAGGAUUAGAUACCCCUGUAGUC
rnacentral:rRNA from 1 species